rnacentral:rRNA from 1 species
GAUUCAUGAUACCUCCUCGAAUCGCAUGGCCUUGUGCCGGCGAUGGUUCAUUCAAAUUUCUUCCCUAUCAACUUUCGAUGUUUGGGUAUUGGCCAAACAUGGUUGCAACGGGUAACGGAGGGUUAGGGCUCGACCCCGGAGAAGGAGCCUGAGAAACGGCUACUACAUCCAAGGAAGGCAGCAGGCGCGCAAAUUACCCAAUCCCGACACGGGGAGGUAGUGACAAUAAAUACUGAUACAGGGCUCUUUUGGGUCUUGUAAUUGGAAUGAGUACAAUUUAAAUCCCUUAACGAGGAACAAUUGGAGGGCAAGUCUGGUGCCAGCAGCCGCGGUAAUUCCAGCUCCAAUAGCGUAUAUUAAAGUUGUUGUGGUUAAAAAGCUCGUAGUUGAACCUUGGGCCUGGCCGUCCGGUCCGCCUCACCGCGUGUACUGGCUCGGCCGGGCCUUUCCCUCUGUGGAACCCCAUGCCCUUCACUGGGCGUGGCGGGGAACCAGGACUUUUAC